CAACCCUCGAACCCCUCCGGGGGGUCGGCGUUGGGGAUCGGCCCUCCCUCGCGGGGGGCCGUCUCCGAAAUACAGUGGCGGUCUCGCCGCAGCCUCUCCUGCGCAGUAGUUUGCACACUCGCACCGGGAGCGCGGCGCGUCCACAGCCGUUAAACACCCAACUUUCUGAAA
rnacentral:misc_RNA from 1 species